rnacentral:SRP_RNA from 1 species
GCCAGGCAUGGUGGCGUGUGCCUGUAAUCCCAGCUACUCAGGAGGCUGAGGCAGGAGAAUCGCUUGAACCCAGGAGUCGGAGGUUGCAGUGAGCCAAGAUUGUGCCACUGCACUCCAGCCUGGGUGAAAGAGUGAGACUCCGUCUCAA